UCUUCUUGAGGAAAAAUAAUCUGUACUUGUAUUUUCUUUAUAGUUCCAAUCCAUUAUGUCAACUGCCCAACUGGCAACAACACUGACUUUUUGCUACCAGGCAACACUCAAUAGGUGGUCUUGGGAAAAGGGAUUAAAGAGAGCACUAGGAGCAUUUCUCCAUGAUCACAGACUGCCAGGAUGAAACAUGUUCACACAGACAUGGGAAGGAACAACAUAUCCCUCAACUUCCAAACUUGUAAGGUCUCCAAGACCACCUCUCUGAGAUGCUUGGGAUAACCUGCAAGUCUCCACCAAUUGAAGUAUCACCUUUUGCAAGCCUAGGACUCCAAUGAGCAUUGUUUUCCCACCAGAAAAAUGAGGACUCAUUUUAGACAAAGGGACUUUGUACACAAUUAGAACAAAUCAAGCAAGUUCCCUCUUUCAAGACAUGGUAUGCCAAUUAUCUUAAGUUUUUCUAGCUCACAUUUUUCAUAAUCAUUCUCAUAUCUUAGUGCAAGUUUCCUGGAGAAAAAAAUAAUAGUUAUUAGAAAACAUAUUCACAGAAAGUAUCAAUUUUAAUAGAUUGUGUUAAAAUGGAUUGGGGGGUUGAAGAAUGUAAUUUAUCUAUAAAUGGCUUUAAAUUGAGUAUUUGUACCUUCAUUACCAUGCAGUCUCCAUAGAUUUCUACUAACUUUUCCAAGGUAAUACAGAUUCUCCUGAAGCCAAAUUACUUCUUAUGCCAACUGGACUUUUCAGCCUAUAACACUGGUGUGAAGUUGUUUCAGAUGUGUUGCAGUUUUUGAUCUGUGCUGCUCAACAACUAUGCCAAUCAUAGAUUUAAAGUGCUGAAUAAAGUAAACUUUCUAAUCAGGCUUCACAUGUGAGCUGUCUAUACUUCCACCCUAUAAAAAUCUAUGUUAUUGCAGGUCUUUAUUUCUCUUACAUAUCUUUUUCAUUUUAUAUCAUUAUCCUUGUCUACCGAUAACUUGUUCUGUUUCCAAACUGAAGACAUUUUUGCUUUCUUUCCAGAUUUCAUCCAUUAAUUAUAAUUAAUUAUUAUAACUGUAAUUAAUUAUAUUAGUUACACAGUAUGUAUAAUCAAUCAAUAAUUUUAGUAUAGAAUUAAUUCUUAUAAUUCAGUAUUUUAAAAGAGAGCAAAAUGGAACCCCAUACGUUCCUGAGAAAACCCUACGGCUUUAGGACCACUUGAGGGCAGUAAAAGAUAUUUCAGUAAUACAGAAGUAACAGACUAUAUCUUUACUUUUAUGAAUGGAUUGACAAAAGAAAAAAAAAGAUGGAAAUGAAAGAUAAUUGUAAGAAGGAUAUGUAGCUUCAGGAAGCAAAAGAACUGAAGGCUUGCUUCUCAGUGUAAACACUUCAGCAGGCUAAAUCUAUCUGGACAAAAUCUUGUGAAUUAUAAGCAGGGACUUAAGCUUCUUUUACUUUUUAUUUAUUUUCUACUUUUCUUUGUAAAAUCAGUGUGAUUUGACAGUUGGAGCAGAAGUGAAAAAAUGUAUGGUACGCAUCAUUCAAUCAAACCAGCAAAGCAACAGAGAAGGAGCAGGACAGAGCAAGAAGGAAAGUAAAGCAGUCUGUGGGCAAGAGAGGAGCGCUCACAAAGCGUUUGGAGAGAUGUUUUAUUUUGUCAUUUGCUUAGUGAGGUGGGGGCAUCUGCUGCUGCUCUAAGCUCCACCCAUGUCCUCUCCCCUUUUAGAAGAGCUGAUCAAAUACAGAGCAAAGCCACAGCUUCUGGGGCUUGGAGUCGUGUCCCUUCUGGGAAGAUUCUACUCCUCACUGGGUAAGACUAGAAACAAACUGAUUUUCACUGUGAGCCAAGGCUCAAAAAAGCCCAGAACAAGCCCUCUUCUAAAUAUAAACCUGAUUAAGAGAAAUAUGAGAAAUCACACAAUUUGGCAUUAAAUCCAAUCUCUUG